UCAUCUUGUCAACAAAUAUUGCCUGUCAUGGACCAGCCAGCCUCAGCAGAGGAAGACAAAUGAGACCCAGCCCGGCUCUUGUGGAGGUGCAUUCUGGUGGUGCCUGUGGAAGAAGGAAGGUGUGAAGCUUAUCAGUAACUUGGGAGAACAAGACAUGUGCCCAGUUCCUGCCCAGGGCAGUGAAGGGUGUGUCUCCCAGAGCUGUGCCUGUUCAUCUGUUCAUAGGAGGGACUGAAAUCUAGUUUGGAGGGAGCAGAAAACGUGUCGCAGAGAAGAUGGGAUCUGCCUUGCGUCUUGGAAAUUGGGAAGGAUUUAUAAUGAGAAUGAACGCCUGACCCUCGUCAGCCACUUUGCCAUCGUGGGCUGCUUUCAUCCUGCAGAAACCUAGCCAGGAGUGUGGUGGGAGCUGUGAGACCCUCCAUUCCUACGAGAAAAACCCCGGGUCCUUUCGCUUUCAAUAUAUGAAGGCCAAAUUAUGUUAUCGGAUGGAUACUAUUUGUGGAAUCAAAGAAAAUGUUAUCACACGCAUUUUACAGAUAAGGAAACUGAGGCACAGUGCGAGGAAGUAGGCCUGGAUUCAAAUGGGGACAAGAGACUCUGGAGCUGGGGUCUUCUCUGCUACGUCACGUGACCUCCUGCAGGGACGUGUUCCAGUCUCACACUUCACACGGGGAGUGACCUGAGGACCCCUGCGAUGGUGUAACUCAUCUGGAUCAGUGAGGGACGCGGCACAGAGCGCAAGCCCCGUCAGUCCUGGUGUUGCUUCUGGGCCUGGAGCAGAGCCCGGGGCACUGCCCUGAGGGACGGAGCGCGGCUCUGGUGCCAGGAGCAGAGCCCACCUGUGCGGUCGCUGCUUCCCGACCUCUCCUUCAUUUCACCCAGGGCUGUUCGUCAGGAUGUCCUGGGACCCGCAGGGGACUUUGAAGCAUCAGACACCACAAUCAUAGCCCCACCAGUUAAAUGAGGGAACGAGCAAGGGGAGACAUCAUUUAGAAUGUGACUUAUUUGUUUACUCCAUGCCCUGUUCCCUAAGGAUUCAUGACCGUGUACAGAAAUGCCUUCACUCUGGGAGAGGGCAUCCGUUAGGCGUGUGUGACAGCGGCUGGAAUCCCAGCUCCCUCACUCCCCUUCCCGGGGAACCUGGACGGUCCCAUCAUCUUACUGCUCCCUGGCUUCCUUACCUCUAAACUGGAAACGAUGUCUUCCUGGUGGGCCUGGGCGAACAUGGACGACAGUUCCCCUCAGGUUCCUAGUGCAGGGCUGGCCCGCAGCAGGUGCUUGGCGGUUUACUGUUAUUACUGCAAGGUGGAGAGCGACGCAGCAUGCGCCAAACCAAGGGGAGGAGCCAUAAACCGAAGCCGGAUGUGAGGCCCGCAUGAAAACACCUAUGGGCCGGCCCUACGCGCCCUCUCAGGCUGGUGUGAAGCGGAACCUGAUUACUGAAUCAUUCCCGGAGAUUCUAAGAGGAAAACAGUGCUCGGGAGAGGCAGGAUGCCAGGCUGGGCGGGAAGAAAGAGCUCUGUAGGGUCCUUCUAAGGAGGACGCUGCAGUGUUGCAAACGGUGUCCUAAACCACUUUAGGGUAAACCCAGUGACCGGGGCCACCUGCUGUCCCUAAGAGAGGCUAGUGGCAGCAAGCCACAGCGUAGUCUAAUAGAAACGUUCCACCAAAAGCCGGUGUAAUGGAGUCCACGCGUAGUCUGCUCGGCUGCUGUGACUCCACCAGGGGUGACAAUAGGUCAUGCUUCCUGGGCACUGUGAGGAGCCAGCGAGAGGCUGAGCCCUUGCCUGUGCCACCUCAUUAAGUCUUACAGCAACCAUGUGAGGCUGGGAAGGUGGUCCUCCCCAUUUUGCAGAUGAGUAAAUGGAGGACCGGAAAACAGGGUGAGAAAGCUGCCCGGGGUCAUUGAGUUCGUGAGCCCGAGCCAGACGUCCUGCUCAGGCAGGCGGCUUGGCGCCAGUACCACGACCCUCUGUCGCUUUGGAAAACCGAUUGGACUCAGCAUCCUUGUGACGGUCCUUGCCAGCUGAGCCUUUGAGGAAUCCCGGGCUGCAGUGAGUUCGAGAAAAUGUCCAGCCCCUGCCGAGUUCCCCAGGGGCAGUGUUUUGCUCGUGGCCUCGGCUCAGAAAGGGGAGGGCAAGCAGGGAGCAGGGCCAAGUCCUGCCUUAGAAGGGCAUCUUCGGUCCACUGUCACACGCAGACACAUGGGUGACGGAGGACCUGAAGUGCUCCACGCAGCAUGGCUGCAGUAAUUUGAGUCUGAAAAACUGUCAAGGCAGUUGCACUCCUGUUUUGGCUAUUUCACAAAAAAAAAUGAGUAUAUGGCACUCAUAGGAUACUCAGCGUGCAUUCCUUUUAUUGUGAUUUUUGCCUAAUGUAUUGGACCCUCUAAAUUGUCUGGCAGGAAACACUCUCAAGGACUCCCCACCCUGUGACCCCCAUCACAGUAGAAGGUUCCAGAAAGGCCAGAUGCAGCAUUGUGCUGUUUCUGCAUGGGGGACGUUGCGUGGUUGUCAUUGUGACACGAGCAGGACUCGAGCGGUGCAGCCUUCUGGGCUCCUGCUCUUCUGCGGACCCCGAUGGAUGGCAGAGCCCCACCUCCCCUUCUGUGAGAGCCAGGCCCUCCUUGGGGUUUCCCGAGAUGGUCUCUGAGGACUUGUGGUGUCCAGCUCUGCCCGCCACCCCUGUCCGGGCCUGUCAGGUCCUGGUGGGGUCUGCUCUUUCGCUGCCUUUGUCACCGCCUGCUGUGCAGGGCCCCAGUUCCCUCUCCUUUGUGUCUGGGGCUGGGGAGGCAGCCCGCUUGUGCUCACAGUUGGGUCUAACGUGGAGGAAUUGGAGCACAGCACAGCAGAGGCCAUAGCAGAAAGCCACAUGUCGUGUCCCUUAUCGGGAUCGCGCACCAUGCUCCCUCAAGCCCUGGCUCCCCGUUAUCCUCCUGAGUCUGCUCUUCCCCCCACUUACUACCUCCUCCAAUCCCCAGACUCAGUUGCUUCCUUACGGAGGAGCAGAGUGUGGCUCAGUCUUCGUCUUCCCCUGGGCUUCCCAGCCGAGCCCGGAGCUUGCCUUUCUCACCCUCCAAGUUCCAUCGUGGCUCACGUGGUGGGGUUCUUCUCUGUGCGAUAAUUUACAUCCUGAUACGUGAAAGUGGCCACACCCCUGGUUUUAAAUAGACAUCCCCUCCCCCCCCACCUCCCCCACAUACCCUCACCUCCUCCACACACCCCCCACAUCAUCUGUAUCAGCGUUUACAGAAUAGUUGGGAAUUAAAUUUUUGUGAGGCAAGACAAAAUACCACAUAAUAAAAAUGACCGGAAAUGAGCUGUCAAGCCAUGAAAAGACAAUGCCUCUUACUGAGUGAAAGAAGCCAGUCUGAAAUGGUUUCGUACUGUGUGGUUCCAGCUACAUGACGUUCUGGAAAAGGCAGAACUACAGAGACAGUAAAACGAUGUAUGGUUGCCAGGAGCUGGGGGAGAGGGGGAAAAACAGGUGGAGCACAGAGGGUUUUUAAGGCAGUGAAACGAAUCUAUAUGAUCCCAUAAUGGUGGGUACGUGUCCUUAUACGUUGUUCAAACCCAUUGAAUGGACAACACCAAGAGUGAGCCGUGACGUAAACUGUGGACUCUGGGUGACUGACGUGUCGAUGUGGGUUCACUGAUUGUCAUAAAUGCGCCACCCUGGUGGAGGUGUUGAGAAUGGGGGAGGCUGUGUGUGUGAGGAGGGCAGGAAGUAUAUUGGGAAAUCACUAUACUCUCUGCCCGAUUUUGCUUUGAACUUAAAACUGCUCUAAAAAUAAAGUCUGCUUUUACAAAUGA